CAUCAUCAAAUUGGGUCAGACCUUUGGAAUGCUAAAGAAAUCCAUUUCUUAAAAAUGAAUGAUGGGCAGGCCAUUGGAUACACUAAUUAGAAUUUCUGUCCUUUAUAAGUGGAGAUAUCUCUCUGUCUUGUGGGAUGUCUACUAGCUUAUUUAUAGAACUAGUCUUCCCUUCCUGUGUUGAUUGGAGCCUUGGCAGAUACACCUCCACUGAUCUGGGCAAUGCAGCACGUGUUUUACUGGAAAACUGUGUCCCCUCCACCACAGUAAAGUUUGGCACAAAUGGAGUCAGUUGCACAGGACUCUUUCAUCAACGUGGGAGUAGAUUUGAGGAGAUUUCAGGAGAUUAGCCACUGCAUUGACACACUCCAUACACCAUGCAACAGAUGCUCCAUGCCCAGGUGCGAGUUCUGUGUAAGUUUGCAGGUUCAUCAUCACAGGGCCAAUCAACAAGAACAGUGUGUUGCCUUCUUAAGUAAUGGUGUUUGUUCUGAAGGUUGUCAAAAUGAAUUUAAAUAUAUUUUCAACAAAUAAACUCUGGUCUGGUCCCAGAAGUGUUGCUCCUAACCUUCUCCUUGGGUUUAAACUGUCAGCGUCACCACUGAGCUUUCCCCUUCAACUCUCUUCAGUCCUUCCUGUUUUGUCUCCAUUCUUUAUUCCUCUCUCCUUAACUUAACACACUGAACAGGAAAUACAGAGCAAAAUGAAAUUUGUGACAAUGCUCCACUUUGAACAUGGACUUUUAAGCCAUGUGGUAAUGCAGACUUCCAGAGAAACACAGCUAUAUAGGUCAAUACACCUCUGAACUUGGGACCCCAGUGAUAAGCUUUGUGCAUAAAUUUGCUUUGUAUUAUUUGCUUUACUUCCAGCUGUCAUCUGUUGCUCCUCAGUCUCACGCUUCUUCUCUAGUAAUAUUCUCAUCCUUUAUUUCUAAUCUAUUUACAGUCUAUCAACUAAUAAAAUAAUAAUAAUCAUAAAAUAAUAAAUAAUACAAUGAUAAAUAAAAUAACAAAAUAAUAAAACCCAUUACAACUGUGCAUAACAACUGAUUUUGA